rnacentral:rRNA from 1 species
UACAGAGGGGGCAAGCGUUGUUCGGAAUUACUGGGCGUAAAGGGCGCGUAGGCGGCCCGCUAAGUCGAACGUGAAAUCCCCGGGCUCAACCCGGGAACUGCGUCCGAUACUGGUGGGCUCGAAUCCGGGAGAGGGAUGUGGAAUUCCAGGUGUAGCGGUGAAAUGCGUAGAUAUCUGGAGGAACACCGGUGGCGAAGGCGACAUCCUGGACCGGUAUUGACGCUGAGGCGCGAAAGCUAGGGGAGCAAACGGG